GCUGGAGCAGGAGGUGCGCGAGGUGCACGAGCGCGAGCGGGAGCUGCAGCGCCAGCGGCUCAGCGUCUACGGCACCGCCGAGUUCAAGGAGCCCGCGCCCAGCCUCACGGCAAGCAGGGGUGAUGGAAAGCUGGCAGUGAUCUGGCCUCCCCGCAGAAAGGCGUCGGAGAACGGCUUGGAGCAGGAGGAGCAGAAGCCUUGAGGUUCGAGCCGGCUGGGACCCCCGGCCAGAAGGAACAUGCCCGUCAGAGGCCCGGGCAGGGGCGCCCAGGAGUGCCCUCCGGAUGGGCGGAAGGCCUGGAGAGGGGCCUGCGGUCUGCGCCCGGGAAGAUGAAAUCGACCAGCGCAUCCUUGAACCUGACUUUGUGAAACUGACCAGUCUCGUCUAUAAACUGUUAGUCCCCUUGGGAAACACAA